CAAUAGCGUAUAUUAAAGCUGUUGCGGUUAAAAAGCUCGUAGUUGGAUUUCUGUCAAGGACAACUGGUCCGCCCUCCGGGUGAGCACAUAGUUUGGUCUUGGCAUCUUGCUGGAAACUGUUGCUGCACUUGGCUGUGUGGCGCAGUGUCCAGCACUUUCACUUUGAGGAAAUUGGAGUGUUUCAAGCAGGCACAUGCCUUUGGACACAGUAGCAUGGAAUAAUUAGAUUGGGCUUUUGCUCCAAUUUGUCGGUUUCUGGAGCUGAGGUGAGAAUUAAUGGGGAUUGUUGGGGGCAUCCGAAUUUAGCUGUCAGAGGUGAAAUUCUUGGAUCUGCUAAAGACGGACAACUGCGAAAGCGUUUGCCCAGGAUGUUUNCAUUGA
rnacentral:rRNA from 1 species